CCUACGGGUGGCAGCAGUGGGGAAUAUUGGGCAAUGGAGGAAACUCUUACCCAGCAAUGCCGCGUGAAUGAAGAAGGUCUUCGGAUUGUAAAGUUCUUUAAUUGGGGACGAAAAAAAUGACGGUACCCAAGGAAUAAGCCUCGUCUAACUAGGUGCCAGCAGCCGCGGUAUUCCGGAGGAUGCGAGCGUUUUCCGGAUUUAUUGGGUUUAAAGGGUGCGUAGGCGGGCUGUUAAGUCAGCGGUAAAAUCCCGGGGAUAAACCCCGACGAGCCGUUGAAACUGGCUGUCUUGAGAUGACGUGAGGUAAGCGGAAUGCGCGGUGUAGCGGUGAAAUGCUUAGAUAUUGCGCAGAACCCCGAUUGCGAAGGCAGCAUACCGGCGGCGAUCUGACGCUGAGGCUCGAAAGCGUGGGUAUCGAACAGGAUUAGAUACCCGGGUAGUC
rnacentral:rRNA from 1 species